AUUUUAUACUGAAAUAGAUUAGUAAGAUCAUAAUCCCACUAAUUACCUGAUUAACUCAUAGUACAAUAUAAACUCUAAUUAUUUACCAUUAGGCUUAUCGGGAUAUUACAGUUAGAGUUUGACUCCAAUUAUUUAUUUCUUUAUUUAUUUAUCAAUAUAUGUAAAGUUGUAAUUUUUUUGGGUAAUUAUUAAUUGUGAGAAAAAGAAAAGUCUUGGUGACCAAGUUUUGAUGAGUCUUCUUAAGGAAGAUUUGGAAUGUCUUGGUCCCCAAGUUGUCUUGAUGCCCAAGUUUUGUAACUUUAUAAAUAUGUAUUUUGUGUGAGAGAGAGAGGUAUGUGUGUAGAGAAAAAUAGUGAGUUUUGAAAAGAGAGGUGUGUGUGAGUUCGCUAUAUGGUGAGAGUGAGUAAGAAGCAAAGGGUGUAUUGGAAUUUGAGUGGAGAGAUUGAAACAAGAAGUAUAUGUAAUUUUGAAGUAAUAAGUGAAAUAUAUCUCUCUUUGUGGGUUUGGUAGUUUUACCAAACUGAGUAAAUUUUCUUUGCUUCGUUUAUUUGUUAUUUUGCUGUGCUUGAAGUUUAUCGUUUUUUCCAACAUGCAAAGGUGUCAAGGUUUAAUAUUGGCGAUGUGUAUCCGGAGAAGCCUCACUUUUAUAGAGACCUAAUUUUUCAGCAGAUGGCCUUAGAUGGAUGUAUUCCUAAUAUUUGCAUCAGAUGGCCUCUAGGAACAAUUAAGCAAUCACACAAUUGUAGAGAUUUUUUUUCAAGCACCCCAAAACUGUAAACAUUUUUUCACAUUUGUUAUGCCAAUUCUUAAUUGUGUUCAUAUGGCCAUAAUAGUGCUAAUUAUUUUACUCUAUUGGUUUACAUAAUUAACUUGGAUAUUGAUUUGUGGUUUACUCUAUGUCAGAUUUUUCAUUAGCUGAUAAUCGUAGUUGGUUUCUCAAUAAUAGAUUUUUGUAUAUUAAUUUUUAAUUUGUUCACUUUACGUAAUUAGUUUUUUGUUUUGUUGUAAUGGAGUUGUUGCAUUCUUUGUAGUGUUUUAUAUA